UACGGAGGAUGCGAGCGUUAUCCGGAUUUAUUGGGUUUAAAGGGUGCGUAGGUUGUUUUUUAAGUCAGCGGUGAAAGUUUGUGGCUCAACCAUAAAAUUGCCGUUGAAACUGCAUCCCUUGAGUGCGCGAGAAGUAUGCGGAAUGCGUGGUGUAGCGGUGAAAUGCAUAGAUAUCACGCAGAACCCCGAUUGCGAAGGCAGCAUACCGGUGCACAACUGACGCUCAGGCACGAAAGCGUGGGUAUCGAACAGG
rnacentral:rRNA from 1 species